rnacentral:rRNA from 1 species
GUGCCAGCAGCCGCGGUAAUACGUAGGGUCCGAGCGUUGUCCGGAUUCAUUGGGCGUAAAGAGCUCGUAGGCGGUUUCGUAAGUCGGAUGUGAAAACUCAGGGCUCAACCCGGAGACGCCAUCCGAUACUGCGAUGACUGGAGUCUGGUAGGGGAGCACGGAAUACCUGGUGUAGCGGUGAAAUGCGCAGAUAUCAGGUGGAACACCGGUGGCGAAGGCGGUGCUCUGGGCCAGUACUGACGCUGAGGAGCGAAAGCGUGGGGAGCAAACAGGAUUAGAAACCCGAGUAGUCC